rnacentral:rRNA from 1 species
UACGUAGGGUGCAAGCGUUGUCCGGAAUUAUUGGGCGUAAAGAGCUCGUAGGCGGUCUGUUGCGUCGGCUGUGAAAACCCGGGGCUUAACCCCGGGCCUGCAGCCGAUACGGGCAGACUAGAGUUCGGCAGGGGAGACUGGAAUUCCUGGUGUAGCGGUGAAAUGCGCAGAUAUCAGGAGGAACACCGGUGGCGAAGGCGGGUCUCUGGGCCGAUACUGACGCUGAGGAGCGAAAGCGUGGGGAGCGAACAGG